rnacentral:rRNA from 1 species
UACGUAGGGUGCGAGCGUUAAUCGGAAUUACUGGGCGUAAAGCGUGCGCAGGCGGUCUGUUAAGACCGAUGUGAAAUCCCCGGGCUUAACCUGGGAACUGCAUUGGUGACUGGCAGGCUUUGAGUGUGGCAGAGGGAGGUAGAAUUCCACGUGUAGCAGUGAAAUGCGUAGAGAUGUGGAGGAAUACCGAUGGCGAAGGCGGCAUCCUGGACCGGUAUUGACGCUGAGGCGCGAAAGCCAGGGGAGCAAACGGG